GACGUAGGGGGCCAGCGUUGUCCGGAAUUAUUGGGCGUAAAGGGCUCGUAGGCGGUCUGUCACGUCAGGAGUGAAAACUCGGGGCUCAACCCCGAGCCUGCUUCUGAUACGGGCAGACUGGAGGUAUGCAGGGGAGAACGGAAUUCCUGGUGUAGCGGUGAAAUGCGCAGAUAUCAGGAGGAACACCGGUGGCGAAGGCGGUUCUCUGGGCAUUACCUGACGCUGAGGAGCGAAAGUGUGGGGAGCGAACAGG
rnacentral:rRNA from 1 species